CAGGUGAUUGGAAUGCAGGUAAAUAAUGAAAGUCUUACAAAACAUUUCAAUAAGGAUAAAAUGAAACACUAACAUGAUUUUUUUUAGAUUUACAUUUAAGAGAUAUACUGUUUCUCAACAAUAACACCGAACCAUGGGGUGAAGUAAUACAAAAAUGUAAACAUACGUUUAAAGUUCGAAAAGAAAGUGAACACAAGAGCGUUCAUGAGUUUCUACAAGACUGGAAAAUAUUAUCAGACCAAAGAAGUGACAUAUUGAUAAACAUUGACUUCGACUUGUUGUAUCCAGAAAAAGGGCUGAAUUUUUAUUUAAAUUGGAAAAUAUUUUUCGAAAAAAUUAUUGCUUUUAAACCGAACAGAGACGAAAGAAUCUUGAACCUUAUUGAGUCACUGAAAAAUUUAGACAAUGAUUUAACACUUCCUGCUGAGCUUAAAAUACUCGCACAUCUGGUGCCUCCAAAGGGAAGAAUUUCAAAAAAAAUUAAGUUCACUACUCAG